rnacentral:rRNA from 1 species
AAAUCCUGUGGGAGGUAACCAAUUUCCCCCCAUGAUGUUAGCGGCGGACGGGUGAGUACACGGGGGUAACCUGCCCUGUAAGACGUGGGAUAACUUCCGGGAACACCGGGGCUUAAUACCGGAGGGUUGCUUUGACCCGCAGUGGUUUCAGACAAUAAAAGGGGGCUUUCGUGCUACCAUUUACAGAUGCCACCCGCAGGCCGCAUCUAGCUUAGGUUGGAGGAGGAACCGGGCUCCCCAAGGCGACUGAAUGCGACCAAACCGUGAGAGGUUUUUUUGCCACACUUGGGACUGAGACACGGCCCAAACCCUUACGGAAGGCAGCAGGGGGGAACCCUCCCAGCAAAAGAACGAACAGCUCUGACAGGACCCACCGCCCGGCGGGAGGAUGAAGGGUUCUUCGGACCCGAAAAGCUUCUUGUGGCGAGGGAAAAAACAAGGCGCCCGCUACAAAGUGCGGGGGCCCUUCUGACGCAACCCGAAAAACGAAAGCCACCGCCUACCUCCCGGGCCCAGCAGGCCGGGGGAAAAACCGGUAGGGUGGAAAGC